UCCCUGGUGGUCUAGUGGUUAGGACUCAGCACUUUCACUGCUGUGGCCUGGGUUCAUUCCCUGGUCUGGGAA
rfam:Sus scrofa chromosome X.